GAUGGAUAGGGGUUCUGAGAGGAAGGUCCCCCACAUUGGUACUGAGACACGGACCAAACUCCUACGGGAGGCAGCAGUGAGGAAUAUUGGUCAAUGGGCGUAAGCCUGAACCAGCCAAGUCGCGUGAGGGAUGAAGGUUCUAUGGAUCGUAAACCUCUUUUAUAAGGGAAUAAAGUGCGGGACGUGUCCCGUUUUGUAUGUACCUUAUGAAUAAGGAUCGGCUAACUCCGUGCCAGCAGCCGCGGUAAUACGGAGGAUCCGAGCGUUAUCCGGAUUUAUUGGGUUUAAAGGGUGCGUAGGCGGCCUUUUAAGUCAGCGGUGAAAGUCUGUGGCUCAACCAUAGAAUUGCCGUUGAAACUGGGAGGCUUGAGUAUGUUUGAGGCAGGCGGAAUCCGUGGUGUAGCGGUGAAAUGCUUAGAUAUCACGCAGAACCCCGAUUGCGAAGGCACCCUGCCAAGCCAUGACUGACGCUGAUGCACGAAAGCGUGGGGAUCAAACAGGAUUAGAUACC
rnacentral:rRNA from 1 species